rnacentral:rRNA from 1 species
AUUGAACGCUGGCGGCAUGCCUUACACAUGCAAGUCGAACGGCAGCACGGGAGCAAUCCUGGUGGCGAGUGGCGAACGGGUGAGUAAUAUAUCGGAACGUGCCCAGUCGUGGGGGAUAACGCAGCGAAAGCUGUGCUAAUACCGCAUACGAUCUAAGGAUGAAAGCGGGGGAUCGCAAGACCUCGCGCGAUUGGAGCGGCCGAUAUCAGAUUAGCUAGUUGGUGGGGUAAAGGCCCACCAAGGCGACGAUCUGUAGCUGGUCUGAGAGGACGACCAGCCACACUGGGACUGAGACACGGUCCAGACUCCUACGGGAGGCAGCAGUGGGGAAUUUUGGACAAUGGGCGCAAGCCUGAUCCAGCAAUGCCGCGUGCAGGAUGAAGGCCUUCGGGUUGUAAACUGCUUUUGUACGGAACGAAACGGCCCUUUCUAAUACAGGGGGCUAAUGACGGUACCGUAAGAAUAAGCACCGGCUAACUACGUGCCAGCAGCCGCAGUAAUAC